UACGUAGGGGGCAAGCGUUAUCCGGAUUUACUGGGUGUAAAGGGAGCGUAGACGGCAGGGCAAGUCUGGAGUGAAAGGCAGGGGCCCAACCCCUGGACUGCUCUGGAAACUGUCCGGCUGGAGUGCAGGAGAGGUAAGUGGAAUUCCUAGUGUAGCGGUGAAAUGCGUAGAUAUUAGGAGGAACACCAGUGGCGAAGGCGGCUUACUGGACUGUAACUGACGUUGAGGCUCGAAAGCGGGGGGAGCAAACAGG
rnacentral:rRNA from 1 species